rnacentral:rRNA from 1 species
AUUGAACGCUGGCGGCAGGCCUAACACAUGCAAGUCGAACGAGUGGCGGACGGGUGAGUGAUGUCUGGGAAACUGCCCGAUGGAGGGGGAUAACUACGGGAAACAGUAGAUAAUACCGCAUACCAUCGGAUGUGCCCAGAUGGGAUUAGCUAGUCGGUGGGGUAACGGCUCACCUAGGCGACGCUCCCUAGCUGGUCUGAGAGGAUGACCGGCCACACUGGGACUGAGACACGGUCCAGACUCCUACGGGAGGCAGCAGUAGGGAAUAUUGCACAAUGGGCGCAAGCCUGAUGCAGCCAUGCCGCGUGUAUGAAGAAGGCCUUCGGGUUGUAAAGUACUUUCAGCGAGGAGGCGUUACUCGCAGAGGAAGCACCGGCUAACUCCGUGCCAGCAGCCGCGGUAAUUC